rnacentral:rRNA from 1 species
AGUGAACGCUGGCGGUAGGCCUAACACAUGCAAGUCGAACGGCAGCACAGUAAGAGCUUGCUCUUACGGGUGGCGAGUGGCGGACGGGUGAGGAAUACAUCGGAAUCUACUUUUUCGUGGGGGAUAACGUAGGGAAACUUACGCUAAUACCGCAUACGACCUACGGGUGAAAGCAGGGGAUCUUCGGACCUUGCGCGAUUGAAUGAGCCGAUGUCGGAGUAGCUAGUUGGCGGGGUAAAGGCCAACCAAGGCGACGAUCCGUAGCUGGUCUGAGUGGAUGAUCAGCCACACUGGAACGGAGACACGGUCCAGACUCCUACGGGAGGCAGCAGUGGGGAAUAUUGGACAAUGGGCGCAAGCCUGAUCCAGCCAUACCGCGUGGGUGAAGAAGGCCUUCGGGUUGUAAAGCCCUUUUGUUGGGAAAGAACAGCAGCAGGUUAAUACCCCGCUGUUCUGACGGUACCCAAAGAAUAAGCACCGGCUAACUUCGUG